rnacentral:rRNA from 1 species
AACGAACGCUGGCGGCAUGCCUAACACAUGCCAGUCGAACGAGACCUUCGGGUCUAGUGGCGCACGGGUGCGUAACGCGUGGGAACCUGCCCUUAGGUUCGGAAUAACUCCCCGAAAGGGGUGCUAAUACCGGAUAAUGUCUUCGGACCAAAGAUUUAUCGCCUUUGGAUGGGCCCGCGUUGGAUUAGCUAGUUGGUAGGGUAAAAGCCUACCAAGGCGACGAUCCAUAGCUGGUCUGAGAGGAUGAUCAGCCACACUGGGACUGAGACACGGCCCAGACUCCUACGGGAGGCAGCAGUGGGGAAUAUUGGACAAUGGGCGAAAGCCUGAUCCAGCAAUGCCGCGUGAGUGAUGAAGGCCUUAGGGUUGUAAAGCUCUUUUACCCGGGAUGAUAGUGACAGUACCGGGAGAAUAAGCGCCGGCUAACUCCGUG